GACGAACGCUGGCGGCGUGCCUAAUACAUGCAAGUCGAGCGGACUAAUGGGAGCUUGCUCCCGUUAGUUAGCGGCGGACGGGUGAGUAACACGUGGGCAACCUACCUGUAAGACUGGGAUAACUUCGGGAAACCGGAGCUAAUACCGGAUGACAUAAAGGAACUCCUGUUCCUUUAUUGAAAGAUGGCUUCGGCUAUCACUUACAGAUGGGCCCGCGGCGCAUUAGCUAGUUGGUGAGGUAACGGCUCACCAAGGCGACGAUGCGUAGCCGACCUGGGAGGGUGAUUGGCCACACUGGGACUGGGCCACGGCCCAGACUCCUACGGGAGGCAGCAGUAGGGAAUCUUCCGCAAUGGACGAAAGUCUGACGGAGCGACGCCGCGUGAGCGAUGAAGGCCUUCGGGUCGUAAAGCUCUGUUGUUAGGGAAGAAUAAGUGCUAGUUGAAUAAGCUGGCACCUUGACGGUACCUAACCAGAAAGCCACGGCUAACUACGUGCCAGCAGCCGCCGUAA
rnacentral:rRNA from 1 species